rnacentral:rRNA from 1 species
UACAGAGGGGGCAAGCGUUGUUCGGAAUUACUGGGCGUAAAGGGCGCGUAGGCGGCCUUCUAAGUCGAACGUGAAAUCCCCGGGCUCAACCUGGGAACUGCAUUUGUGACUGCAUGGCUAGAGUGCGGCAGAGGGGGAUGGAAUUCCGCGUGUAGCAGUGAAAUGCGUAGAUAUGCGGAGGAACACCGAUGGCGAAGGCAAUCCCCUGGGCCUGCACUGACGCUCAUGCACGAAAGCGUGGGGAGCAAACAGG